rnacentral:rRNA from 1 species
GCGAACGCUGGCGGCAGGCUUAACACAUGCAAGUCGAGCGGGCGUAGCAAUACGUCAGCGGCAGACGGGUGAGUAACGCGUGGGAACGUACCUUUUGGUUCGGAACAACACAGGGAAACUUGUGCUAAUACCGGAUAAGCCCUUACGGGGAAAGAUUUAUCGCCGAAAGAUCGGCCCGCGUCUGAUUAGCUAGUUGGUGAGGUAACGGUUCACCAAGGCGACGAUCAGUAGCUGGUCUGAGAGGAUGGUCAGCCACAUUGGGACUGAGACACGGCCCAGACUCCUACGGGAGGCAGCAGUGGGGGAUAUUGGACAAUGGGGGCAACCCUGAUCCAGCCAUGCCGCGUGAGUGAUGAAGGCCCUAGAGUUGUAAAGCUCUUUUGUGCGGGAAGAUAAUGACGGUACCGAAAGAAUAAGCCCCGGCUAACUUCGUG